rnacentral:rRNA from 1 species
GACGAACGCUGGCGGCGUGCUUAACACAUGCAAGUCGAACGGACAUGCCCUUCUUUUGUGGGGUGCUCGAGUGGCUAACGGGUGAGUAACACGUGAUUAACCUGCCCUUGACUUUGGGAUAACUUCCUGAAACUGGAGCUAAUACCGGAUAGGAGCUCCUGCUUCAUGUUGGGUGUUGGAACGUUUCGUCGGUUGGUUAUAGACUCGCGGCUUAUCAGCUUGUUGGUGUGGUAGUGGCUUACCAAGGCUUUGACGGGUAGCCGGCCUGAGAGGGUGACCGGCCACACUACAACUGAAAUACGGCCCAGACUCCAACGCUAGGCAACAGUGGAGAAUAUUGUACAAUAGAAGGAAGCCUAAUCCAACAAAGCCGCGUGCGGUAAGACAUCCUUCCGGUUGUAAACCAAAUUUGCCUUUUACGAAGCGUUAAUGACGGUAAUGGAUAAAUAAGCACCGGCUAACUACGUG